AGACAACUGAGAGGAAGGAGGUACCACGGGCACUCUCUCGCGAGAGGGCCGCAGAGCCGCCUUUGACGGGGGCGUGUACCUGGAGAGCAACGCAGGCAAUCAAGCUGGCUAGGUUCCUGCCACAAGUUCAGACUAGUCUUCUGUAGGAGCCUAUGAGGUUGGUCCUAUUUUUACUCUCACUUAUCCCUACUUACCAGAUGAGGAUCCUGAGGCUCAGAAAAACUCUUGACAAAAUUCUCAGGGAAAACUCUUCAGCUCUGGAUGUCUCCCUUUUUGUGGAUCAAACACAAAGGGCAUCAUUCUAAAAUAUAUACCGAAUCAUAAAAGCCCCAAAUAGCCAAAGCAACCCUGAGCAAAAAGAACAAGGCUGGAAGCAUCACACUACCAGACUUCAAAAUUUACUACAAAGCUCUAAUACCUAAAACAACAUG
rnacentral:antisense_RNA from 1 species